GGGGGCGUAAAGGUUUCGACGGGGAUUUUGAAGUACGAUAAGCGAGUAGAGCAGGGCAAACUCUUUAAACUGCACCACGUUUAAAUAUAAACGCUAGAAAUAAUAUUACUGUAAGCAGAAAUAACUUACAGGUAGCAGCCUAAGUCUGCUUCCGUUCAUUUACAGAGUACCGCGGCUGUAUAUUGAGCGUCGAUUAGCGGUGAACGUUUUAUGGGAGUGUCCGUUCCUGUAAAAUGACUUCGGACUACCUGUUGAUUCAGCUUGUUUGUCAGCGGUUUCUUCAGGGAAUUUAAAUGAUAAACUACACUCGUAGAAAGUUGUAUGAAUGAAUUUUCGGACGCGAGUUCAAUUCUCGCCGCCUCCACCA
rfam:Ruminococcus sp. CAG:624 genomic scaffold, scf262